CCUACGGGAGGCAGCAGUGGGGAAUAUUGGGCAAUGGGCGCAAGCCUGACCCAGCAACGCCGCGUGAAGGAAGAAGGCUUUCGGGUUGUAAACUUCUUUUCUGAGGGACGAAGAAAGUGACGGUACCUCAGGAAUAAGCCACGGCUAACUACGUGCCAGCAGCCGCGGUAAUACGUAGGUGGCAAGCGUUAUCCGGAUUUAUUGGGUGUAAGGGCGUGUAGGCGGGAAAGGAAGUCAGAUGUGAAAACGCAGGGCUGAACCCUGAGCCUGCAGGUGAAACUGGGUUUCGUGAGUGCUGGAGAGGCAAUCGGAAUUCCGUGUGGAGCGGUGAAAUGAAGAGAUAGACGGAGGAACACCAGUGGCGAAGGCGGAUUGCAGGACAGUAACUGACGCUGAGGCGCGAAGGCGUGGGGAGCAAACAGGAUUAGAUACCCCAGUAGUC
rnacentral:rRNA from 1 species